rnacentral:lncRNA from 1 species
AUUUAUUUAUUUAUUUUGAGGCAGAUUAGCCCUGAGCUAACAUCUGCUGCCAAUCCUCCUCUUUUUGCUGAGGAAGACUGGCCCUGAGCUAACAUCUGUGCCCAUCUUCCUCCACUUUAUAUGUUGGACGCCUACCACAGCACGGCUUGAUGAGCUGUGCCAUGUGCGAACCCUGGAUCCGAGCUGGCGAACCGUGGGCCACCAAAGGAGAAUGUCUGUGCUUAACUGCUGUGCCACCAGGCUGCCCGGUUGUGAACAUUUUUGUAUGAGAGUCUUGCGGUCAGAUGCAUUCUUUUUUCUUGGGUUUCCCCUAGGAGUGCAGCCUUUCAGGACCCUAACCCGAAACAGGAAGGUGGCUCUCACCUUUGGGGACAUUUGGACUCCAGUUUUGUCUCACUUGCCCCACACAGCCUAUUUUCUGCCACCAACUCCGGGUCAGCAAAUGAGCCCAGGGUAAAAGCAGUCCUGCUGCUGUGUCGCCGCUCUGCUCUCCUGUGCUUUCGUGCUCCCACACCAAUAAUUCCUCACUGU